rnacentral:ncRNA from 1 species
CUCUUAUCAAGAGCGGCGGAGGGACUGGCCCGAUGAAGCCCGGCAACCUCGGUGAGAUGGUAUCACCGGAAGGUGCCAAAUCCUGCAGAACAAAAAGUUCUGAGAGAUAAGAG